UACGUAGGGUGCGAGCGUUAAUCGGAAUUACUGGGCGUAAAGCGUGCGCAGGCGGUUCGUUAUGUCCGAUGUGAAAGCCCCGAGCUUAACUUGGGAAUGGCAUUGGAAACUGGCGGGCUGGAGUGCGGCAGAGGGGGGGUGGAAUUCCACGUGUAGCGGUGAAAUGCGUAGAGAUGUGGAGGAACACCAGUGGCGAAGGCGGCUUUCUGGUCUGUAACUGACGCUGAGGCGCGGAAAGCAUGGGGAGCGAACAGG
rnacentral:rRNA from 1 species